rnacentral:rRNA from 1 species
UACGAAGGGGGCUAGCGUUGCUCGGAAUGACUGGGCGUAAAGGGCGCGUAGGCGGUGCAAUGGGUCAGAUGUGAAAUUCCUGGGCUUAACCUGGGGGCUGCAUUUGAAACUAUUGCGCUAGAGUUUGGAAGAGGGUCGUGGAAUUCCCAGUGUAGAGGUGAAAUUCGUAGAUAUUGGGAAGAACACCGGUGGCGAAGGCGGCGACCUGGUCCUUGACUGACGCUGAGGCGCGAAAGCGUGGGGAGCAAACAGG